GUCCAGGUUAGCCUAGUGGACAUGACAUCUGCCCGGUAAACACUGUGGGUUCGAUUCCCAUCCUUGGACA